UGAUUCUUGGGCUAGAAAAGGAGGAUGCAAGAUAAGCCUGGAGCAUCUUAGCUUCCUGCAGUGUCAGAGAGCAAGGAAGUGUGCAAAAGGAAACCCACAGUGAUGAGGGGAUGUCAAAGGGAGGCAGGAGCCAACUGAAGGAUCUCCCAGUGGUCAAUGCUCAAACAAUUUGAGCAACGUGAUAAAUAAAAGAGUAUUAAAUUAUAAUCCAAAUUAUAGAAUAAAUGUCCAUGAGCCUAUACUGAUAUAAAUAUGUGAUUGAAUAAAUAAAUAAAUGAGACACCACAGGCACAUCUCACAUGCAGAAUUUCAAAUAAUUUAUACAGAUGCUCUGCCCUUAAGAAGGUAGAGCAUGGCUGACUCUGAGAACACUGCCUGGGAGCAGGAGUUAGCCCUGCUCUGCAAGGAGCAGCAAAAAUUAAAAAAAAAACAACAAAAAACAAAAGGCCGGGUGAGGUGGCUCAUGCCUGUAAUCCCAGGACUUUGGGAGGCUGAGGCAGGCAGAUCAUGAGGUCAGGAGAUUGAGACCAUCCUGACUAACACAGUGAAACCCCGUCUCUACUUAAAAUACAAAAAAUUAGCUGGUGUGGUGGCACGCAUCUGUAGUCCCAGCUACUUGGGAGGCUGAGACAAGAAAAUUGCUUGAACCAGGGAAGCGGAGGUCGCAGUGAGCCGAGAUUGUGCCACGGCACUCCAGCCUGGGUGACACAGUGAGACUCUGUCUCAAAAAAAAAAGAAAAAAAAAGAGAAAAGAAAAGAAAAAAAAAUAAGGUAGAACAUAACUCUCCAACUCCCCACUCCUUAAGUGUGGGCUACACAUAGUGACUUCCUUCCAAAGAGCAUAGCAUGGACAGGGGGAGGGAGGAACGAGUAAUUUACAAUUGAGAAAUCUAACAAGCACUACCAUUGCCAGGUGGCCAAGAUCAGCAUCCAGAGUGAUGCGUUGUGAGAACAGUAUGCACUCUCCCUUGGUAUGAUGUGAGGACCUUUGUGAUCUUCUCCCCAAAACCUCAUAACCCCAGUCUAAUCACGAGAAAAAUAUCAGAAAAAUCCCAAUUGAGGGACAGUCUACAGAAUACCUGAGAGUAGGCCAGGCACAGAAUACCUGAGAGUAGGCCAGGCACAGAAUACCUGAGAGUAGGCCAGGCACGGUGGCUCACAUCUGUAAUCCCAGCACUCUGGGAGGCCGACGUGGGCGGAUCACCUGAGGUUGGGAGUUCGAGACCAGCCUGACCAACAUGGAGAAACCCCGUCUCUACUAAAAAUACAAAAAAAAAAAAAAAAAAAAAUUAGCCAGACGUGAUGGCACAUGCCUGUAAUCCAAGCUACUCAGGAGGCUGAGGUAGGAGAAUCACUUGAACCUGGGAGGUGGAGGUUGUGGUGAGCCAAGAUCGCACCAUUGCACUCCAGCCUGGGCAACAAGAGUGAAACUCUGUCUAAAAAAAAAAAAUACCUGAGAGUAAUCAUCAAAACUGUCAAGGUCAUCAAAAACAGGGAAAGUUGGAGAAACCAUCACAGCCAAGAGGAGCCUAAGGGGACGUGAUAACUAAAGCCAUGGGAUAUCCUGGAUGGAAUCUUGAAACUGAAAAAAAAAAAAAAAUCCCACAACAGGUUAAAAACUAAGGAAAUCCGAACAAAGUAUGGAUGUUAAUAAAUAAUAAGUUAUCACUAUUGGUUCAUUAACUGUGACAAAUGUACCAUACUAAUGUAAGAUGCUAAGAAUAGGAAAAACUGGAUGUGGAGGACAUGGAAACUCUGUACUAUCUUCACAUUUUUUCCCUUUAUAUCCAAUGCUAUUCUAAAAUAAAAAAGUUUGCUUUAAAAAUUCCACUGACUGGGUUCCUUCAGUGGAGAGACAAACAGUUCUGUACUCUUUCUCAGAAUCUAUGUGUCUCCUUGUAUUCUAAAAUAACACAUAUUCAUUUUGAAGUUUAUAAUUUUGAAAAAGUGACACUUUUGAACUAAUUAGUUUCAGAGAGCAGGGAUGAAUGUAAUACAUUUAGAAUGAUGCUGAAGACUUCUUUAGCUCUCACAAUGGUUAAAAAGUCAUUGAUGCUUAGCGAUAAUGUUGGUGUCUCUGUUCCAGCUAUAACAAAAAUACUUUAGACUAGAUAAUUUAUAUAGAUUACUGAAUUUUAUUUCUCACAGUUCCAGAGGCUGGGAAGUCCAAGGUCAAGGCACCAGCAGAUUCAGUGUCUGAUGAAGGCUCUCUCUUUGCUUCCAAGAUGGCGGCUCUUACUGCAUCUUCACAUGGCGACACAGCAUUCAACCCCUCUGGAGGAAGUAGCAUUUAAGGCACCAUCUUGGAAGCAGGGACCAGAGCCUCUCCAGAUACUAAACCUACUGGCACCUUGAUCUUGGACUUCGCAGACUCCAGAACCGUAAGCAUAGAUUUCUGUUCUUUAUAAAUUACCCAGUCUCAGCAGGAAUGGACUAAGACAACCAGGAAUAAUUCUUCCAUUGUAA
rnacentral:lncRNA from 1 species